CACGUAGGACGCAAGCGUUGUCCGGAAUUAUUGGGCGUAAAGAGUGUGUAGGCGGUGCUCUAAGUCUGUUGUGAAAUCUCCCGGCUUAACCGGGAGGGUGCGGCGGAAACUGGAGUGCUUGAGGGUGGGAGAGGUAAGCGGAAUUCCUGGUGUAGCGGUGAAAUGCGUAGAUAUCAGGAGGAACACCUGUGGUGUAGACAGCUUACUGGACCACUUCUGACGCUGAGACACGAAAGCGUGGGUAGCAAACAGG
rnacentral:rRNA from 1 species